UACGUAGGUGGCAAGCGUUGUCCGGAAUUAUUGGGCGUAACGCGCGCGCAGGUGGUUUCUUAAGUCUGAUGUGAAAGCCCACGGCUCAACCGUGGAGGGUCAUUGGAAACUGGGGAACUUGAGUGCAGGAGAGAAGAGUGGAAUUCCACGUGUAGCGGUGAAAUGCGUAGAGAUGUGGAGGAACACCAGUGGCGAAGGCGACUCUUUGGCCUGUAACUGACACUGAGGCGCGAAAGCGUGGGGAGCAAACAGG
rnacentral:rRNA from 1 species